CAGCUUUACUGUAAGUUUGAAAAUCUUCCAAGUAGAAGAUUAGGAUAAAGGCAAUGGAAUGGAAACCUGAGGAAGAGCAGAGGCCUGGCCUGGGAGGAGGCCAUGCAGCUCAUGCAGAGGGGCCCUGCAGGGUGGCGCCACCGCCUCUCAGUGAGCGCUGCCAGAAGGUCACUUUCUCUUCUUUCGCACAGACCUCCUGGU
rnacentral:lncRNA from 10 species